CGGCCGGGCGGCGGGGGAGGAGGAGGAGGAAGAGGAGGACGACCAACAAGAUGGCCCCUGCUGCAGGAGCAGCCUCAGCAGCAGGUGGGAGGCCGGAGGCGGCGCUGGCGGUGGCGGCGGCGGCCGUGGCCCGGCGGCCUGGGACAGAGUCAGAGUCGACGGUGGCAGCGGCGGCGGCGGCGGCUGCCGCGGCGGUGGCGACGGCCGCGGGGACUCGGAGCUGAGAGGAGCUGCUGCUCGGACCAGCGCGGUUAUAUUUCACACUAUGUGCUGACUGUAUUUACAGAAGAUACUUAAAAAAAAAAGAUAAACUUUUUUCAAAGAUUUUGAUUCCAGUGGAAUCUUUGCUUUAGAUUUUGUGUGUGUGUAUGUGUGAGUGAAUUGUAACUCCAGAAACAAUGCCUGUACAAGCUCCACAGUGGACGGAUUUCCUCUCCUGCCCAAUUUGCACUCAGACUUUCGACGAAACAAUUAGAAAGCCCAUCAGUUUGGGUUGUGGCCAUACUGUCUGCAAGAUGUGCCUGAACAAACUCCACCGAAAGGCUUGCCCAUUUGACCAGACCACUAUCAAUACAGACAUUGAACUCCUUCCAGUGAACUCAGCAUUGCUGCAGCUAGUGGGUGCCCAGGUUCCUGAGCAGCAGCCCAUUACUUUGUGUAGUGGAGUUGAAGAUACAAAGCAUUAUGAGGAAGCCAAGAAAUGUGUAGAAGAAUUAGCACUGUACCUGAAACCACUCAGCAGUGCUAGAGGAGUGGGUCUGAAUAGCACUACUCAGAGUGUUCUGAGUCGCCCAAUGCAGAGGAAGCUGGUGACUCUGGUCCACUGCCAACUAGUGGAAGAAGAAGGCAGGAUUCGUGCCAUGAGGGCAGCUCGAUCUUUAGGUGAACGAACAGUUACAGAGCUCAUUCUCCAGCACCAGAAUCCUCAGCAGCUCUCUUCCAAUCUUUGGGCAGCUGUCAGAGCUAGAGGCUGCCAGUUCCUCGGACCAGCAAUGCAGGAGGAAGCUCUAAAGCUGGUUCUCCUGGCUUUAGAAGAUGGUUCUGCUUUGUCAAGAAAAGUAUUGGUUCUCUUUGUGGUGCAAAGGUUGGAGCCACGGUUUCCUCAAGCCUCUAAAACUAGCAUUGGGCAUGUUGUCCAGCUUCUUUAUAGAGCCUCCUGCUUCAAGGUCACCAAACGUGAUGAAGACUCUUCUUUGAUGCAGCUGAAAGAAGAAUUUAGAACCUAUGAAGCUUUGCGGCGAGAACAUGACUCCCAGAUAGUGCAGAUUGCUAUGGAAGCAGGCUUACGAAUUGCACCAGACCAGUGGUCCUCUUUGCUAUAUGGGGACCAAUCUCACAAAUCUCAUAUGCAGUCCAUUAUUGACAAGUUGCAGACCCCAGCCUCUUUUGCACAAAGUGUUCAGGAACUAACAAUUGCUCUCCAGCGGACUGGAGAUCCAGCGAACUUGAAUCGACUAAGACCCCAUUUGGAGCUAUUAGCAAACAUUGACCCUAGUCCAGAUGCUCCUCCUCCUACUUGGGAACAGCUAGAAAAUGGGCUGGUUGCUGUGCGUACAGUGGUACACGGGUUGGUUGAUUAUAUCCAGAAUCACAGCAAAAAAGGAGCAGAUCAACAGCAGCCUCCACAGCAUAGCAAAUAUAAAACAUACAUGUGUCGAGACAUGAAGCAGAGAGGAGGAUGCCCUCGUGGGGCCAGCUGUACAUUUGCACAUUCACAGGAGGAACUGGAAAAAUUUCGUAAAAUGAACAAACGCCUGGUUCCCAGAAGACCCCUGAGUGCCUCUUUGGGUCAGCUUAAUGAGGUGGGCCUGCCUUCAACAGCUAUCCUUCCGGAUGAAGGUGCAGUGGAUCUACCUAGCAGAAAAACCCCUGCUCUGCCAAAUGGAAUUGUAUCAGCAGGGAACACAGUAACGCAGCUGAUUCCACGAGGGACAGACCCCAGCUACGAUUCUAGUCUGAAACCAGGAAAGAUAGAUCACCUGAGCAGUAGUGCCCCUGGAUCCCCUCCUGACCUGCUAGAAUCUGUCCCUAAGAGUAUUUCUGCCUUGCCUGUUAAUCCACAUCCUGUACCUCCAAGAGGGCCGACAGACCUGCCCCCUAUGCCUGUCACCAAACCACUUCAGAUGGUACCGCGAGGCUCUCAGUUAUACCCAGCACAACAGGGAGAUGUUUAUUACCAGGAUCCUCGAGGAGCUGCCCCACCAUUUGAACCAGCACCUUAUCAGCAGGGCAUGUACUAUCCUCCACCACCACAAUGUGUUUCCCGCUUUGUCCGACCUCCACCAUCUGCUGCUGAACCUGGUCCUCCCUACUUGGAUCAUUAUCCACCGUACCUCCAAGAUCGUGUAGUAAACUCCCAGUAUGGCACACAGCCGCAGCAGUACCCACCUAUGUACCCACCACACUAUGAUGGCCGUCGAGUAUACCCUGCUCAGUCCUAUACAAGAGAGGAGAUUUUCCGAGAAAGUCCUAUACCCAUUGAGAUUCCACCUGCAGCAGUACCAUCCUAUGUACCAGAAUCCAGAGAAAGAUACCAACAGAUGGAGGGUUACUAUCCAGUGGCUCCCCACCCAGCUCAGAUCAGACCUUCAUACAACAGAGAGCCUCCUUACGGCCGGCUUCCUCCUCCUCCCCAGCCCCAUCCUAGUCUAGAUGAGCUGCAUCGAAGACGAAAGGAAAUAAUGGCACAACUAGAGGAAAGGAAGGUUAUCUCUCCACCUCCUUUUGCACCUUCACCAACAUUGCCUCCUGCCUUCCAUCAAGAGGAAUUUUUGGAUGAAGACUUGAAGGUAGCUGGGAAAUACAAAGGAAAUGAUUAUAGCCAGUACUCACCCUGGUCAUGUGACACCAUCGGCUCCUACAUUGGAACCAAAGAUGCAAAACCCAAAGACGUUGUGGCAGCAGGGAGUGUGGAAAUGAUGAAUGUGGAGAGUAAAGGAAUGAGAGACCAACGAUUGGACCUUCAGAGAAGAGCGGCAGAAACCAGUGACGAUGAUCUCAUCCCAUUUGGAGACCGACCAACAGUAUCUCGGUUUGGUGCAAUUUCUCGAACUUCCAAAACAAUAUAUCAGGGUGCAGGCCCAAUGCAGGCUAUGGCACCUCAAGGAGCUUCCACAAAAUCUAUUAACAUUUCAGAUUAUGGUCCGUAUGGAACGCAUGGUGGCUGGGGAGGUUCUCCUUAUUCACCUCAUCAAAACAUACCUUCUCAGGGACACUUCAGUGAGAGGGAGAGAAUAUCUAUGUCAGAAGUGGCCAGUCAUGGAAAACCCCUUCCAUCUGCUGAGAGGGAACAGCUACGACUAGAAUUGCAGCAACUAAACCAUCAAAUUAGCCAACAGACCCAGCUACGGGGACUAGAGGCUGUUAGUAACAGGCUGGUGUUGCAGAGGGAGGCGAACACCUUGGCAGGCCAGUCACAGCCCCCGCCACCACCUCCAAAAUGGCCUGGAAUGAUCUCAAGUGAGCAGUUGAGCUUGGAACUGCACCAGGUGGAAAGAGAAAUUGGGAAGAGAACCCGGGAACUGAGUAUGGAGAACCAGUGUUCUCUGGACAUGAAAAGUAAAUUGAAUACAAGUAAGCAAGCAGAAAAUGGACAGCCAGAACCACAAAGUAAGGUUCCAGCUGAGGACCUUACAUUGACAUUCAGUGAUGUGCCGAAUGGAUCAGCCUUGACACAAGAGAAUAUGAGCCUCCUGUCAAACAAGACCAGCUCUCUGAACCUGGCAGAGGACCCUGAGGGCGGAGGGGACAGCAGUGACUCCCAGAGAGCAGGAGUGACAUCCAGUUCUGCGCCCUGAAACAUGAGGAGGAGUCCUACUUUUAUCUUCUGCUCCUAAGCAGUGUGUGGGGCAUAGGGUAGGGGUAGGAGAAUAGAGAACUUCUAAACUUUACAUUUCUCUGAGAGUGGUCAGAGAAAUCCAGGAAAAGCACCGGAGGCAAUGUGCACAAACACCACUACUAAAAAUAAACCCUGCACAUAGUUCACAUUAAUGCAUUUUUUAAUUUAAAAAAAAAGAAAAAGAAAAAGAAAAUUAGCAGUAUCUGCAAGCAAUUCAGAUUAAAUUUGUUUUUGUUCUGUGAAUGAACUUUAUUUUAAUAACUUUGGACGCCUUGGAUCCAGGGCUUUAAAAAAAAGAAGAUAUUAUAUAUACACUCUGUUUGAUUAAUUGUAUGAUCUUAAUGAAGUAGGUUUUUCUUGUAUUUUGGUAUUAUUACAUACCCAGUGUAUAAUUCCUUACCCCCAAUCCUUUCCAACUCUCACAACCCCAUAAAUUACAACAGACAAAAAGCACCAGCCUUUCUGAGAAUUCUGUGGUGCUUGAGAAAUAGACAGUAAUAGACUAGUUAUUAGAAAAUGUGCAGCAGACCAACUUUCUAAGAGCUGUUAUUUGGAAAGCCAUAAUUUGCUUUCUCUUUCUGGGUGACUAGCUUCAUGUGAGGUAGAUUUUUCAUAUGGCAUUAAAACUUUCUGUAGUUCAGGAGGGCUUUAUUUCUUGUUUUUGUGUUUAUUUCAGCUUUUCAGAGAGAUAAUUGCCAGUUAAUUUUUGAAGUCCUCAUUCCCAUAUUAUGCACUCCUUUCAUUCUCUUAAUGUAAUCAGAAUUCUGAGUCAAUUUUACAUUGCUUGAUUAGAUUUAAUGGAGAUUAUUUUAAGGAUAAACCAUAAUUUAUUAGCACUGGAAAUACAUACUCGUUUAUUACCUAUAUUGAGCUGAUGGUUGGAAAUUUAGAGCUGUGCUUUUCCAAAUUGAACUCCUGCUGAAAUCAUAAAAAACCAGGGCAAUCAACCAUGUUUUCAAACUGCAAUACUUGAUUUGAACUUUAAAUGAGCAGAGCCACAUUAUUUCAAUGGAUAUUUUUGUUUUACUCUCAAAAACCAGAAGUAUAAAAUUCCUGUGUACUGGAGCUCUUGGCUUUCAAAGAGAUUUGACAAAUUUGAACUGCCUGAAUCUUAAGAAUAGUUCGUGAAUUGAUCACUUGUUGCUUUUUGGAAUCAUUAGCACAAGUAGGCAGUAAGUACGUCUUUGCUUUACAAUAUUGAAAAGAUGCUUCAUGAAAAUGUGGAAAAGAAUAAGGAAGAAUUUUUUUAUUUAGUUCUGCUGCACAUAUUCUGAUGCCAUGUGUCUAUACUGAACUAAGACCAUAUAAACAUGUUUAGUGGGGAUUAUUUAAUAUAGUCACCCACCCUAUCCCUGUGUUUGCCUGAUUUUCUAAAAAUUUCCCUUUCUGUAUUAUACUACUAAAACCGAAAGCACUGGUUAUGUAAUAAGUUACUGCAUUGCUUUGGUUGGGUAAAAGCAAGAGUUUGUAUUUUUCUUGUUUCUUAUUUCCUUAACCCUUAACUCCUGCUGAGGUCAUGACAGCCUCAGUCUAAGCUCUGUGUCCAUCAUACUGUUAAAUGAAACAAAUGAGGGGUGAGGGUGGGGGGAGGGUAAUACAGUCCUGCCAUUGCCUACCAGUAGGAGAGUCCAAACAGAACACUCUUUUGAGUAGCAAUUAUUUAAUUUGCCCAGUCAAGGCACCGUGUUUAUAUACUAUUUCACAUUGAAUUUGAUUAUGCCCUACAGACCUGGCUGGUCAAGGAUUUGAUAUACACAUAUUGGCUUGGGAUUCGAGCUUUCUUUUUUAUUUAAAUAAAAAUUUAUAUAUAUAUUAUAUAUAUACAUAUAUACAUAGCUAUAUCUGUAUAUAUAUUGGGUAUGUUUUAUGGAUUUUUUCGCAUGAGCGCAGCUGUUGCGAUAAAAUGACUGAUUGGGAGGUAGAAGCACUGAAUGAAGAUGAGGUAUUUUAUCAGUUGAUAUUCAUAUUUUCCUUUAAUUUUUUAAUACACUUGCUUUUUUGCCUUUUGGUUUUGUUUUCCUUAAAACCCUCAUAUAUUUACUCUUUAAGUACUUAUUGUUUUUCUUUUGGGAGAAGGAAAGAAACUCUUAUGUCUGACAGAGUCCUGAGAUUUUUCAUUUCUCUCUAUAACCAUAAAAGACAACAUUCUUGGCUUCUAACCAAGGCAGAUUUGGGCAGAUCUUAUUUCUCCUUUGGACAUGUUAAAUAAUUCCUAAAUUUUAGGAGUGGUUGGUUCGAUUUGGAACUCAAAAUGAUUCUGGUAUUGAAAAGGAAUUUAUGGGUAUUGGUUUUGUUGAAAUUCGGAGUGAAAGUAAAAUUCCAUUUUGGCUAUCUGUUGAAAUCCGUAAUAACUCAGCUUGUGUUGUUCUUGUUUAUUUCCUUCAAAUAUACUCAUUCUUUCUUUCCCCAUUUUGACUUUGUAAACUAGGCAGAAACAGGGAUUAAUUUGUACAGUAUUCCUAUUCUGAAUAAAGCCAGAGAAGCCACUAUUUUGAACUGAUUUAAAAUAGUCUCUUUCUCAAGGUAUUUUCAUGGAGUGAGAAUGGGGGGAUCUCUUAAAUUGUAGCCUUAAUCCUAGCUAUACUUCUAAAAGGCCCUGUACUCUGUCGAGGAAAUCUGGGUGGGUAGAACAGCAAGAGAAAGGUAUACUGUCCCAUUGUACCUGUAACUUACCUAUUUUAAAUUGGUUAUUCUGCCUUACCUCAUGGAAAUUCUUACAACUUCCCCAGUGCUCACAGGCAGUUUUAGGAAUCCAAUAAAACUCCACAUUUUUUUUUUCCUCUUUCUUUUCAUUUUCUCUGUGAUAUACCUUGUGAUAUGGUGAGCCUGUAAGGGUAAAUGACCUGUUUAAGAAAAACUGCUUGACUUUUUAACUGCUUUUUUUGUUAAUAUCUGUAAAAGAUAAUUGAUUUUUCUGGCUUUGUAAAUUUAUUCCUUUAGAGACAGUUAAAAGAUGAAACCAGGCAGAUAGGAAGCACAGUUUUUAUGCUUAUGCAAGUGUUAAUUUCUUCUGAAGAUGACUGUUUGCUUUUCACUGAAUUAAAAGGCAAGACUCAGACGUCUCAGAUGAAAAUGAACAAUUCUGAGAAGGGUUAAGGCAGGAGUCAUAGGCAUUGUGUUCAGUGUGGUUUGGAUAACACCACCAGAAUUUUAUUACAGCUAGGAAUAUAAAGUCUUUGGCUCUCUGACUUUUUCUUUCUUCAUUGGGUCUCUGGAAAAGGGUAGAACAACUGAGAAUAAGAUAUCUAGACUCAACUUUCUGACUUAAAUGUAGUUCCUUGCCUUACUUAUAGAUAUUGUCAUAAAAUAAGUUCAGUAGUUGCCAUGUCUUGGGUAAUUUACAGAUGCUGAAAUGACCAAAGAUCCAUUCCUUGUUACUUUUCUAACCAAAAGAGAAGUUAGUUAUAACAUAGGUUUCUAGUAGUAUUCAAAUAAUAAGACUAUUUCUAAAGCCAGCUACAAAAUAUUCAGCUACUCAGGAUGUAUAAAAAUUUAUUUCAUACAGCAUUAACGUGGCUGAUUCCCUUCUCCCAUUUUAUUUCCCGUCCCUUCUCCUAGUCUUUCCCGUAUUUUUUUUUUUUUUUUUUUUUGCCUGAAAGAUAUAAAAUUGGCAUGAUUCUCAUUUGCUACCCUGAAUAUGUAACUCCAUCAGACUUUCCAUAGGUCUUCAGGGUUGGAGCUCAAAGUCUGUUUUUGUUUUUUUCCUCUGGCCCAUCUCUAUCUUGCAAAUUCCCCUUGAUUUACCCACUGCCCUCCCCAAUCUGCAACAGUGACAGUUUGCUGCCUCAAAACAGAGCAUUCAAAUGAAUUCGCUUAGCCAAUAACUUCUGUGAAGUUGCCUUUUCUAAUGGUGUUAUUACUCAGUGAUGCACAAAUGUGGUAUUUGCCCUACUGGUAGGCAAACAAAGGUCUGGUUAGGAAUGGUAACCUGCUGUUUUCUUUAAAGGAGAGCCAAAGACUUGUGCUUUACUCUGUUUUGGUUUGGGAGGAAAUAGUAGCCAUUUUGAUUGUGAAACCUCUUGGUAUUUGUGAGCUGAUUAUACUGUGUAGGGAGAUGUAUCUAAAGUUAACUGUUAAAGUUAGCUGGCCGUAUAAAAUGUAAAAGUAAUGAAAAUUCACCAGUUUUUCUAAACCAUGAAUGUCAUCUUUCACAAUUCUGUGUGUAAGCAGUUCCUACCCCUUCUUUUACUGAGAUUAUCUUGUCAUGAUAGCAUGUUGUAUUUUUGUUAUUUUACUUGUGCCUCAAGGACAGUCUACUGUCACUACGGUCAAGUCUUGGGACUGAGUAAAAUAAUUCAUGGACAUGUGAUUGGUGAGAAUUAACUAUAGUCAGUACAUGUUAGAUUAUAUUCAGAUUCAGAGAAAAAUAGAUUCUUUUCACUAAAGAGUACUCAGUUGCUAUUGCAUAUAUACAAAUGGUGAUAGAUGGAGAUCUAACCAUCUUUUUUCUACUUUUAUUUUUUUGCUCAUUUUAAAGAAUUGAGUAAAGAUUUCAUAUAUAAAAUCUAUCUGUAAAAAGCACUUGUAAUGUUUUAUACAUCAUUAAGAGGAAGGACCUAGUUACUUUCUAGGGGAAAUUAAUGACCUGUCUAGAAUUAACUGCAGUGUUUACUUAGAUUUUUACCCUAAAAGAGUCCAAUUGUGUUUAUUUCUUAUUGGUGAUACAUGGUUAUAGUUUGCAAAGUGAUCUCUUCCCUGAAAACUCUGCCUAUCCUUUUAGAUAAAAAUUAGAGUUACUAAACUAAAACAGAUUUUACAUUCAACAUUAGGGACUGAACAAACAAGCAGUCUGCUUCUGUCAUCAUUUUACCUGACUACCUGUUUUGCUGGCCCACAAUCAUACCAUUCUGCCUUGGACAACUAUGAUAUUUGUAUUUAUUUGUUGCUUCAGCUCAGCUUUAUGAAGUUUUCCUGCUGAAAUUACUUAUUGGGAAUCAUAGGUGGAUUGCAGUUAAUAUUUUUUUAAAUUCUUCAACUUUGUGAGCCACUUGGAAAAAGAAAGCUGUUUUUGUCAAAAGAGACUAUUAAUUGUAGUAAAUGCUAGCUUACGAUUUGGUCCUUAAGAUUUUAUUUCUUUGACUGAUAAAGGUGUUUUCACCUAUAUUAGAUUGUAACUGAUAAGUAACACUAGCUAGAAUGUUAAUGAAGAAUAGGAAACUGCCACCACCAAAAAGAAGUAACACCCUUUAAUAAUAAAUAUGUUCCCAAUAGGUGGAUUGUCAAUACUGCACUGAACAAAGUGGGUAAAGAGCCCUUUGAAAUCCUCUUGUGAUAAAGGGACUAACCUCACCACUGGAAUCCUUAUUUUUCAGAAUUUUCAGCCAAACACUGAACUUCCCCUAAACUUUAUUCCUGAGCAGAACAUCCCUAGAGUAAUAGCCUUUAUUUUUAAAAUAAGGCACAAUAACCCGAGAGAGAGAACUUAAAAUAAGCCUCACAACAAUAUUGUGUCCAAAAAUGUGUAUUUAAGAAAAUAAAAUCCUGUGGAGUUUGUUAUCCUAAUGUAUGCUAUAUACUAAAUAAGGUGACUUAUUUUCUUGUAUUGAAGUCUCAUUAUUUCUAGCUGGGUUUGUGUGUGUGUGUGUGUGUGUGUGUUUCAUUUUGUUUUUAAUUUAAACUCUUAAGUAGACAGAGCUCACAAGUCUUUGGCAUCCAUUCUAGGUUGUACAGUCAGAGUCAUCUUAUAACUGGAAACUGUCAGGUGGCCCCCUGCCCCAACUCCAGCUGGUGUAUGAAAGGGUCAAGAAAAGAAUGGAAACAAACUAUUGGGUGGAUAACUGGUAGCUUUUUUUUUUUUAGCCUGAUUUUUUAAAAUCACCAUUUAUUAGUGUAAUCUCUCUCUACUGAUUGGCUGCCAUUCUCACAGUAAUAUCUGAACCACCCUGUAAAAUAUUCCUCUGAUUUCAAGGCAUUUAAAGCUUUUACUUACCAUGUUUACAUUCUCUGUUCAACUAAAAUACUGUUCUGAGAGCAACUUUUUCCAGAUGUAUUGUUGCCUAAAUUUCAUUUAUUCUCCCUUUCAUCCUUUCUCUUCUUCCCAUCUUCUGGGAAUGAGAGGAACUUGGAAAAACCAAAAAAAAAAGAGGUUUUUUUUUUUUCUCUUUAAUUUCAUUCAUUGAUCCACAGGCUUCAUUAUCUUACUUUAUGAUGAAUCUGUGACUUUUUAGAACAACAGAAAUGGAAAAAGUGAAUUAAGAUAACAAAACCUUUCACCCACGUAAACAUUUUCCAGUUGUGAGAUUCCUCUUGUGUGUGGUCUCUUCCUCUUGUUACUUACCAUUCUUACCCCUUUUCCCUGACUAUGGUCAAUUUGGUCUUUAGGCUCAUACCAGUCUCCCCGAGACAUUCUGCAGUCAUUAUCACCUUUUUGGGUGGAUUUUAUUUUUUGUUUUUUGUUUUUUAAAUAACUUUUUAACAUUGAUGCAUAUUUGCUUGGGAUAGAGCUUGUGUAAUUUACCAAUCGUAUUGAUUGUACGUGAUUGUGCCCUGCGGAGGUAUAUUUAACAAGACAAAAAUAAUCUGGGUUAAUACAGGAGCCCAUGAGAUUUGAGUCAGGUUAUAAAUGACUUCAUGAAAUCAUUUACAGUUUGAAUAGUGAGAAUUUAUAUCUCCUGUUCUUAAAUUAGUGCUAGACAGAUACCAUUUUUUAAAAGUUUUCUUGCAUUCCUAUUUUUUUCCCUUGCCUUAGCUCCCUCUUCUUUCUUACCUGCCUCCACCCACCUGUUCAGAAGUAGAAAUAUUGAGCCUUAAAGGGAUAGCUGAUUUUUAAAUUGCUGAAGUUUGUGAAAUUUUACUUUUUCCAAGUGUUUCCAGCUUUUCUUUAAAAAGUGAAGACAAUGAGUUGGAAUUUCACAAGCUGUGAAAUUAGCACCUGGCGAACUGUGAAAUCUUAUUUGAAGACUUUAUCUCCCGGAAGUUCUUUUGGAAUAGGAAAAAGGAACCCUGUUUUUGAAAUACACCAUUUUCCUCUCUUUCUAAAAAUCUGUAUAUUUUCAGUUCUUAAACAGCCUUGAAAAAAGAGAAGUGGGAAAAUAAUAGUAGUAGAAAGAUGUUUAGGACAGCAAAAUGCUGGGUCUGAAUAAGUACAUAUUCUACUUGUUACAGGGUUUUGAGAGGAUGAGGGCCAUCUUUUUCAAUUUGUGUUAUCUUUGUGCAUGUUGUUUAUAUCAGAAAUGCCACAUUUUGUUAAAAUGCUAUUCCUUUCUUUAUUAUCUUGGAAACUGACUCAGCCUCAUGUUGCUCCAAAUUAGCGUUUAAGACUCCCACAAGUUGCAGAUAAAAGGACUAUUUUAACAAGUAGAAGGAGGUGAUUUGCCUUUUGGUUUGUAAAUACAUGAAAGUGUCUACAAGGUCUUUAUCUGCUUUCUGUCAGCAUUUAUAUUAAAUGAUAAAUUAAUGAGAAACGUGUAGUCUUUCUUUUGUAAAUGAGCAUGUGCCAUCUUACUGUAACCUUGGGAUUGUUUUCUUACAGCUUUUUUUAAUUGAGUUUGUUUUUUAGGUGAAAAAUAGAGAAGUAGCUAAUGUAUGCAAACACCUACUUGUGCCGAUUUUAUAGAUAUCACAGGAAUUUGUCCAACACCACAGCUCAGAAUCCUUCAUUUGUUAUACAGUGACUGCACGUGAGGAGUAAAGUUCCAUGGACCAGACCCACCUAUCUGCCCUUCCCCUAUACACACUUUAGUCAGAUGACCAAUAGCUUUGAUUGGGAUUUUAUGUCUGCUAUGAAGCAUGGAGCUCCUUGAGGACAAAGUCAUCUUUACAUCCUCAGGCCCAGCACCAACCAUACCUGAUGUUCACCAGACCCUUGUGCAGGGUCCACUCAUCUGCCUUCCUUCAAGGACCUUCUUUACAAUGCACAAGUCUCACAACUCCUACAAGCUGGAACAAUAGGUCUGAACACCAUAUUCCUACCUCAGGGUCUUUGUAUCUCCUGUUUCUUCCAUGUGAAAAGCUCUUCCCAAAGAUAUUUGACUCCUCCCUCAUUUUAUUCUGGUCCCUUAAUGUCAGUUUAUUACGGAGGCCUUUCCUACCUGCUAUUUUACAGCGGUAAUCUCCCUACCUCCUCCCAUCACUUUCUAGUCCCUUGCCCUGUUGUACUUUCCUCUGUAACCCUUAGUAACACCUGACUGACAUAUUAUAGAUUUAUUUUUUAUAUGUUGAUGUUUAUAUGUUAUUGCUGCAUGUCUUCCUGACUGGAGCUCCCAGCCCCUAGAACAGUGCCUGCUGACUCAGGUAGUGCUCCUGUGUUUGCUGAACACGAGUGGUUGAACAGAAGACUUUCCAACUGUCUUUUUUUUUUUUUUCAGUUGCGGCUCAUGGGCUCCUUAGUUGUGGCAUGUGGGCUCCUUAGUUGUGGCAUGCAAACUCUUAGUUACAGCAUGCUUGUGGGAUCUAGUUCCCUGACCAGGGAUCAAACCCGCACCCCCUGCAUUAGGAGCGUGUAGUCUUAUCUACUCCACCACCGGAUGAAGAAGAAUGUGAAGGACUAUGAGUAAGAAAGGUGGGCCUUCUUUCUCCGGACCGGACUGAACUUUAAAACUUCUCUACUAAUUAACCAAGACUGGGCUCUACACUUUGCUUAACCCUGGGAGCUGGUCAUCAGCCUUUGACCUCAGUCCUCCCCUCCUCACCAGCUCCAUCCCCC